AGAAAGUAAUGCAAGAACUGCUAACUCAUGCUCCCGUGCCUAACCCCACGGCUUUCUU
rnacentral:tRNA from 1 species